CCUACGGGAGGCAGCAGUGGGGAAUAUUGGACAAUGGGCGCAAGCCUGAUCCAGCAAUGCCGCGUGAGUGAUGAAGGCCUUAGGGUCGUAAAGCUCUUUUACCAGGGAUGAUAAUGACAGUACCUGGAGAAUAAGCUCCGGCUAACUCCGUGCCAGCAGCCGCGGUAAUACGGAGGGAGCUAGCGUUGUUCGGAAUUACUGGGCGUAAAGCGUACGUAGGCGGUUAUUCAAGUCAGAGGUGAAAGCCCGGGGCUCAACUCCGGAACGGCCUUUGAAACUAGGUAGCUAGAAUCUUGGAGAGGUCAGUGGAAUUCCGAGUGUAGAGGUGAAAUUCGUAGAUAUUCGGAAGAACACCAGUGGCGAAGGCGACUGACUGGACAAGUAUUGACGCUGAGGUACGAAAGCGUGGGGAGCAAACAGGAUUAGAUACCCUGGUAGUCCACGCCGUAAACGAUGAUAACUAGCUGUCCGGGCACUUGGUGCCUGGGUGGCGCAGCUAACGCAUUAAGUUAUCCGCCUGGGGAGUACGGUCGCAAGAUUAAAACUCAAAGGAAUUGACGG
rnacentral:rRNA from 1 species